CCUGUAGUGUAAUGGGUAGCACUCUGGACUCUGAAUCCAGCGAUCGUUGUUGAAAUCCUCG
rnacentral:tRNA from 11 species